CAACCACAACAUAAGGAGCAGAGCCAGGAGGAGGCGUGGCCUGAGGGGGCCUGGCACCUGGGCUGUUCCUGGGCCUCAUGGCUUGCCAGGAAGGGAGAGAAAGGAGAGAAGGAGGGAGGGAAGGAAGGAUCCAAGGGUCCCAGCCAAGGCCUGAGGCUGAGAGAGUGUGGCCCUCUUGGAAAAAAACCCUGGCACUUUUUACGAUCAAUCCCCUCAGUAUUGAUUAUCAUCGUGCUCGAGUUUGUAAUCCUGAGAGCAGAAGUGGAAGAGAGGAAACAUCAGCAAGGUGAACAUUAACUUUGGAUGCUCAGAUGGGAUUAACUUCCCUUUCCAGUAGAACAAUGCACCUUCAUCCAAGGACAGUGAGGUCUUCCACUCUUCCUCUUCAGAGGUGCUCCUGUUGUCCAACCAAUCCUCUGUGGGGGCCUAUCCAUGACUUACCUGGCUGAAGGUGAUCUCUGUUGUCCUGAGCCUCCCAAACCCCAAUCCCCUCCUCUUUGUAGAAGUAUAAUGCUCCUGCCUUUCACUCCAUAUCCAGGAUUCAUUGGUCUCCUCUUGAAUGGGGCCCUCACUUCUUGCAUCCAAGCACAGCUGCUGAGCUGAUCACAAAAGCGUUUAUUGCUCUGAAAUCAUCAUAAUGGUUAAGCUUUUUGGUGGGGUUGCUUUUCUUUAGUUAUGGCUGAAGGCAAAAUGAGUGUUUUGCCUGCAGUCUGAAACUUAGACAGAGAUGGAGUAUACCUUUAAGCAGAAAUGCUGUAAAAGAGAGAGAGACUUCCUCUGAAAUCCAGAUCCCUUAUAAUGCUCCUGCCUUUCCCACCCGACUCAAGUGUCUAAUGUGCUGUUCAUGGAGGAGGACUCUUGAGUUUCAACUGGAGCACUAGAGAAGAAGAGAAAACAUCAAAACAUAAGCAACAGAACCCUGUGCAACUAUGCUGAAAGAAAUCAAGUGCUACUACAGGAUGCUCACUAUUGCAGGAUUAUGCCUCCUUGCAAAUGACUUUUCCAAACAACUUUGGAAAAGUUCAGCCAGCAAGAGAUGUUUUCUUCUUCCCCCAUGAGUUUUGCAAUUACAACUAAGGCACUUUGGGUGCCUCUGCCAGGCUCUGGGGGCCCCAUGACUGACGCUGCCAUCCCUUUCUGCUUUCCAGUCCCACUUUACUUCGGGCAUCUUCCAAAUCCUGGAUUUCCAAUGACAUUGGCUCACUAAGAAACCAACAAAUAAUAUGUAAGAACAUAAAACCCAAAGAUUUCCAGCUCAACAAGAAGACCCAGCCCCCACCCAAAAAGUGAAAAGAAGUUAUAAUAAUAAUAAUAAUAAAACUUUAUUUAUACCCUGCUCCAUCUCCCGAAGGACUUGGGGCAGCUUACACUGGGACAAGCCCAAAAAGUAUUACAUCACUAAAAACAGUAACACAAUAAAAUCACAAUAUAAUAACACAUCUUACAAAAGUUAAAAUAACUUUAAACAUAGACAGUAAUCCCAAUCCUUGGUCAAGCACCAUAGGCCAUCGGCCAUUUUAAGGAAAAUGGAAAUCUGAAUGCUUGGGACUGCUGGCUCCAAAGUGUGUCUCCUUCCCUGGUCUGGGUUCACUGUGAAAGAAAGAGAAGAGCAAAGGGACUAUUGGGAAACUUCCUCUGAAAGCUUGAUCUCCCUUUCCCCUUUGUAGAACUACAGUAUUCCUGCCUUUUGCUCCAUACCCAGGAUUCAUAGAACUCCCCUCAAAUGGGACCCUCACUCCUUUCAACCUGGCCUGGCUGCAGAGCCAAUACCACCCAGAAAUGCUGUAAAAGAAAGAAAGGAAACUUUAUCUAUACUUCCUCUGGAAAGGGCU
rnacentral:lncRNA from 11 species